GAUAUGGAAGUUUAAUUAAAUAUUUACUUUGAAAGUAAAAGAAGAGGUUUCCUCCCUUAUCU
rnacentral:tRNA from 2 species